UGAUUAAAAGAGCCAUUUUGAGGCCAAAAU
rnacentral:piRNA from 1 species